UUCCACUGCGAAGUCAGCAGACUAGUCAAUCGAUUAGUAGGCGUUACAGUGGUGGAAUAUCAAGAUUUAUGUACACCGUCUUUGCUUGAAACAGUUUUUGUUUUUGCUUUGUUCGGAACGUUUUUCAUGGGACUGAGAGUUGGAAAUUUAGCACUGGUCGUUUACAGGGUUGUCCUGCAGUCAAUUCUAAGUUACCUUAGUUUAUGUCCCACACAUUU
ensembl:snoRNA F17C11.15 ncRNA